CCGGCUAACUCCGUGCCAGCAGCCGCGGUAAUACGGAGGGUGCGAGCGUUAAUCGGAAUAACUGGGCGUAAAGGGCACGCAGGCGGUUGUCUAAGUCAGAUGUGAAAGCCCCGAGCUUAACUUGGGAGUUGCAUUUGAGACUGGGCGACUAGAGUCCUCUAGGGAGGGGUAGAAUUCCACGUGUAGCGGUGAAAUGCGUAGAGAUGUGGAGGAAUACCGAAGGCGAAGGCAGCCCCUUGGAGAGAGACUGACGCUGAGGUGCGAAAGCGUGGGUAGCAAACAGGAUUAGAUACCCUGGUAGUCCACGCUGUAAACGAUGUCAAUUUGGGGGUUGGGCUUUAAGCCUGGCGCCCGUAGCUAACGCGAUAAAUUGACCGCCUGGGGAGUACGGCCGCAAGGUUAAAACUCAAAUGAAUUGACGGGGGCCCGCACAAGCGGUGGAGCAUGUGGUUUAAUUCGAUGCAACGCGAAGAACCUUACCUACUCUUGACAUCCAUAGAAGAAAGCAGAGAUGCUUUUGUGCCUUCGGGAACUAUGAGACAGGUGCUGCAUGGCUGUCGUCAGCUCGUGUUGUGAAAUGUUGGGUUAAGUCCCGCAACGAGCGCAACCCUUAUCCUUUGUUGCUAGCAGGUAAUGCUGAGAACUCAAAGGAGACUGCC
rnacentral:rRNA from 1 species